AAUGCGACCUCAGCUCAAGUGGGGCUACCCGCUGAGUUUAAGCAUAUCAAAAUCGAGACAAGAAACUACCAGGAU
rnacentral:rRNA from 1 species